GGAGAUGCUUUGGCGGGGAGGCGGGGGCGUUCCAUUUUGUUCUGCUUUGGUUUGGAGACGGGGUUUGGCUGUGGAGCCUAAGCUGCCCUCAUCCUUCAAGCGCAGCAGUUAAGGCUCAGCCAGUAGAAAUACAUCGCCCUCCCUCGCCCCCCCGCCCCCCGACUUAACUUCUAAUAAGUUUUUAAACUUUAAGUUUGAGAGAGGGUUUCACUAGGUAGCCCUGGCCAGCCUGGAACUGGGUAUACAAACCAGGCUGGCGUUGAACUCAUGCCAAUGCUUCUGAGCCCUGGGAUUAAACGCGUGUACCACCACUUCUGGACGUUUUUAUUCACAUGUAAGUAUGUUUAGGUGCAUGUGUGCCGCACAUGAGUAUAGAGGUCAGAGGACAGCUUUCAGAAGUCAGUUGCCUCCACUCUCUUGUCACGGGUUAUGGCGGUCAACCUCAACUCAUCAGGCUUGUCGAGGAAGCCCUUUGACCCUCUGAGGCGUCUCUGGCCCUAGCAUUGCUUCUUCAUCGUUGUCUCACGGAAGAAGGCUGACGCUCAGGCAUCCGUCCCCCCUUCUGCUCUUUGUGUGGAAGACUUUCUCCUCACAGUGCUAUGUGCUCUGCCACAAUCUAAACUUCUUUGUAUUAUGUUUUAAAUAUUUAAUUAAUUUAUUUUAAUUCAUUUAAUUAUUGUGGUUUUUCGAGACAGGGUUUCUCUGUAUAACUCUGGCCUGGAACUCUCUGUGUCCCAGGCAUGCCUCUGCCUCCUGAGAUCUGGGAUUAUAUAAGUGUGUCUUUUGUUUGUUUUUUGAGACAUUGUAUCUCUGUGUAGCCCUGGCUGUCCUGGAACUCACUGUGUAGAUCAGGCUAGCCUCCAACUUAGAAAUCUGCCUGCCUCUGCUUCCCAAGUGCUGGGAUUAAAGGCUAGGUGUUUCUUAUAAUAUCCUGGGCUAGCCUCUGCUUCAUUGUAUAGCCGAGAAUAAUGUCCUGGUCCCUCGGCCUCUACUUCCCAGUGCUGGAAUUACUCUAUCUGUGCCCUUUUUUAAAUGUACAUUUCAUUACGUAUUUGUGUGGGAGUAUGUAAGCAUACGUGCAUGGCCCUUGUGUGAAAAUCAAAAGAACAGCUGUGGGGUCACUUCUCUUUCUCUGGUGUAGGGGUCCCAGGGAUCAAAUUCAGGUCAUCAGACUCAGGGGUAGUGACUUUUACCUGCCAGACAGCGUGCCAGCCUUUGUUGUUAUUCUUCUUUUUAAAAAUGUUUUAUUAUUUUCUUUUUCUCUAAAGUGCACUGGUGUUUUAUCUGCUUGUAUAUCUUUGUGAGGAUGUUGGAUCCUGGAGGUACAGACAAUUGUGGUUGCUGGGAUUUGAACUCAGGACCUCUGGAAGAGCAGUCAGUGUGCUCUUAACCGCUGAGCCACCUCUCCAGCCUCAGCCGGCCCUUGCUCUUAUAUAAAGUGACCCUGCUGUUUUCUCAUUGCAAGUAGUAAUUUUUUUUCUUUUAAUUUUAGUGUGUAGGUGUUCUGUCUGCAUGUAUGUCUGUCCACCAUGUGCAUGCCUUGUGCAUGUGGGGCAGAGAGGAGAGGAUGUGGGACCCCCUGACACUGGAGUUACAGGUAGUAGUGAGUCACUUGUUCAGGAGCUGGGAAUUUACCCCAGGUCUUCGGCAAGAACAAGCGCUCCUCAACCACUGAGCCAUUCAUUUCUCUGGUACCAGUAAUUUUCUUUUAAAGACUUGUUUUGCCAGCAUGGUAGCACACACCUUUAAAAUUGAGGCAGACACAGUAAGAUCUCUGUGAGUUUUAGGUCACACUGGUCUAGAGAGCAAGUUCAGGUCAGCUUCAACUAUGUGUCAUAUAUCUUAAAACAUGAUCUUAUGUUUAUUGAUAUGUGUGUGUCUGUCUGUAUCCAUACUAGCAUGUAGGGACCCUCAAGGCUGGGAGAGGGUGUCAGACCCAUCCAGGGGAGCUGGAGAAUCACUGUGGGUGACCCAGUGUGGGUGCUGGGAACUAAACUCAAGUCCUCAGCAAGAUCAGGACGCCCUCUCGGGCUGAGCAUCUCCCUGCCCCAGCUGCAGUAUGUCUUUGUUUUUGUCUUUUGUUGUUAUUGUUGUUAAUGUUUCUUUUUGGUGUUUUGUUUGUUUGUUUGUUUUUUUCUAAAUUAAAAAAAAUGUUGGUGUUGAUGGUACCCAAGGCCUCUUGUAUAGACACAGUCUAUGUAGCUCCUGCCCCAGCAGUCUGGUGCGUUUUUGACUAUGGAAAAUUGCAUAGUCGUAGAGGAGAGAGUCGGAGGGAGGCCACGGGAGCUGCUUUGGGAUCUAUCUGUCCCACUCGCUCGUAGGUAAGUGGCGCUGCUCAUUUCCAUUCCCCUUCUGCCUGCCACAGCGCAGCCGGCUCUGUCUCACCGCUGUCAGGGCACUUGGAAUGUGAAUGAGCAAUUAUCACGCCGGUUACAGUGUGCCAGCCCUCCCCAUGCCGUCUUGCCCUGUUCUCUUCUUGGUGUCUCUGCUUGUUCGGUGGCUUGCCGCCAUUCUGUUCUUGGCUCAUCUCAUCCACCCCGCAUUGAACGGAGGGCCUCUUGCUCCGGGCAUUGUGCUCUGCUCUCCUACUCAUCCUCCCCGAGUCUCCCCAGCCUGAGGGGCCACGGGGAUCCCUUCCUUUCCCCUUCCUCACUCCCUGAGUCUUGCUGGUUCACCUAUUCUGAUCUCAGCCUGGCAGCUGGAGCGGAACCUCCAUUGCAAGCCCCUGGGCAGGUGCAGCGUACUUUACUGUCAUAUCCCUCCUCCGUGUCCUCUGCUCUUCUGCCUUCUCUUGUUUCUUGUCACUAGACUAACCGAGAUCUUACGGGUGUGUUCAUAACCCUUAAAACACCUGCAGCGCUGGCCAGCGAGUGAAUUUAUGCAAAUGUCUGUCUGUGGAAGUGUGACGUGCUCUGUGGAUGAAAGUCUGAGCCAUCCUUUUACGGCUGCUCUCAGCUGUGCCCUGUACCAAGCUUGCCUGCUUGUUUUCCGAGUGGGGGCCCCCUCAGGGCUUCAUCAUCCUCUCUCAUCUCUCUCUUUGAGAAAACUUUUGUUAUUUUCGGAGGUAUGUAUAUGCAGUACACGCAUAGCUGGUGCCUGCGGAGACCAAAAGAGGACAUCAGAACGCUUGAGACUAGAGCUACAGGCAUGAGCGACCAUGUGGGUGCUGGGAAUCUAGAAGAGUAGCCAGUGCUCUUAAUUGUUGAGCCAUGUCUCCAGCCUCCUGUCUUCUCUGCUGUGAGCACGCUUCCUCCUGUCCAAGGCCUCCAGAGGGAGAAACUGUAUUAGAUCUGCCAGGAAUUCACUGUGUAACCCAGGUAACCCAGGCUGGCUUUGACUCACACGGUGAUUCUAUCUCACCUCCUCAGUAUGCAGGCGAGACUUUACUAGGGCUUGGAAGGCCAAGAUGGCUGGCUUGUUUUACCAGGCAGGACAAAUACAGACUUAUUAAAGAAAAGUGAAGGGGGCGGGGGAAGACUCUUUAAAGUGAGAGGUUCAAAGGGGGGGGGAAUACCUUUUUUUAAGUUUUAAAUUUUUUAUUUUAUGUGUGAGAGGAUGCUUGCCUGCGUGUCUGCUUGUAGAUAGCAGGUACUCAAAGUACUCCCAGUGGCCACUAGAGGGCAUCAGGUCUCCCGCCUUGUGAGCCCCCGUGGAGGUGCUGGGAACCACGGGAGGAGCCGCCACUGCUCUUAGUUAAAAAAAUAAAAUCAAAAUUGUUUAUCACAUUUGUCGGGUGGAGGAUGGGGAGGGAGCAUUGCACGUGCCUUGGCCCAUGUCUGGUGCUCAGAGGGCCACACUGCGGAGUCAGUUUUCUCCUGCUUAUGUAGAGAAUGGGCAUUGAUUUAGGCUUGCAAAUUGAGAACCUUUCUUAUUAAGCCAUAUGGUCAGGCCCCCUCCUCCCCUCCCACAGUUGUCUUUUUUUUUUUUUUUUUUUUUUUCCGAGACAGGGUUUCUCUGUGUAGCCCUGGCUGUCCUGGAACUCACUUUGUAGGCCAGGCUGGCCUCAAACUCAGAAAUCCACCUGCUUCUGCCUCCUGAGUGCUGGGAUUAAAGGCAUGAGCCACCACACCCAGCUCACAGUUGUCUUUUUAAAAGUAUAUUUUAUUUUUAGUUAGUGUGUCUGUGGCUAUAUACACAAAUCCUGGAAACCCGCUGAGGCCAGAGUCCUUUGGAACUAGAAUUACAGGCAGGUUUGAGCUGCCCAUACAGGUGCUGGGAACUAAUGUCAGGUCCUGUCCUAGAGCAGCAUGGCCCACGCUCUUAACUGCUGAGCCAUCUCUCCAGCCCUUGCUUUGUUUUCUGAGACAGUGUCUCGUGUAGCAGAUGACCGUGCCCUGAUUCUUGAUUCCCAGGUCCUGGGGUUGUAGGCAUGUUCCACCACGCCUGGCUUGAACCCCAGAGCUUUGUGUGUGCUAGGCAAGCACUGUUAUCAGGUGAGCCAUGGUCCCAGCCUUGUGUCUUGUUCUUUUGAAAAGUUUUGUUGUCCCUGGAAUAGUGGCUUGUAUCUUAUAUGCCUCAUAAUGCCUAAUAAACAUAUUCUGUUGCUGUGAUAAAGCACCAUGACCAAGGCAACUUAUAAAAGAAACAUUUAACUGGACUCAAGGUUU